UCCCUACGGGACGCAGCAGCGGGGAAUAUUGCACAAUGGGGGAAACCCUGAUGCAGCGACGCCGCGUGAAGGAAGAAGUAUUUCGGUAUGUAAACUUCUAUCAGCAGGGAAGAAAAUGACGGUACCUGACUAAGAAGCCCCGGCUAACUACGUGCCAGCAGCCGCGGUAAUACGUAGGGGGCAAGCGUUAUCCGGAUUUACUGGGUGUAAAGGGAGCGUAGUCGGUGCAGCAAGUCAGAAGUGAAAGCCCGGGGCUCAACUCCGGGACUGCCUUUGAAACUGUUGAACUAGAUUGCAGGAGAGGG
rnacentral:rRNA from 1 species